CAGCCACAUCAUAUUGAAACACUGGUUCCCGUACGAUCACCAAAGUUAAGUGAUGUUGAACCUGGUCAGUAACAAGAGGAGUGACCGCUUGAAAAUGCCAGGUGUUGUAA